GGGAAGGUGGUUCAGUGGUAGAGUGCUUGCUUUGAAUGCAUGAGGUCUGGGUUCAAUUCCUGAGCACCCCA
rnacentral:tRNA from 1 species